CACAAUGAGUAUCCGGAAGAUCACCACCACAGUCAACAGGAUCCUGAGCAGAGGAAGAGGAGGGGGAGAAAGGUUCUCAUAGGCUAAGUCAUUGAGAAAGUCCCUGUUCUUUCUGUUUCAGUGCUUACAGGUCCUUGAACAGGGGAGCUGUCCACCCUUGAGUGGUACUGAACCGAGAGCCUGGAAAACAAUUUUAUCUCUUUGCAGCUUGGUGCUGGUUCCACACCGAGCCUGUUAACAGCUCGACUUCCAAUAUUUGGUAAGUGAAACCUCACUGGACCUUCAUACUCGUAAGAAUCUAGGUUGAUCUAUUGGCCUCUGCUUUCCUGGGCCAUCUGUGCCUGGGAUGACAGAAGACAUGUGCUCCUCUUGGUACUGUCCACAGUUGUUCACCAUUGUGGAAAUGAAGCAUUUGCUGGAGGACUAUGAUGAAGACACACAGAACAUCGAAUUCUUGUGACCUAAGAGAGCUACCUAUCUCCGCUCUUCUUUGUGGUGUAAUUGUACUUAAAACAGAGGAAAAGGAGAUCCACUUUCCAUAUAGGGAUCUUUACCCAUUAGGGCUGGUCUGGAUUCCUGGGGGUGGGGGUUUGUAUAACUCUUGGUCCCUGCUGCUCUCCUCUCCUCUCAUUUCCUCUUCCCUGUGAUCAUGACACUGGCUACACUAAGCCAGGCAGAGCUGCAGCAGCACAGCCUAGGCUGCAGCAUCAGCAUCAGCAUCAGCAAGGUGGCCUUGGAAAGCUGAUCGGAGCCCUGGACACAUCUCUCCUGGGAAGUGGCAACAUCUGCAGUGUCUUGGGAUUUCUGUGAUGGGGAGGGACUCCAUUCCACUUGGGAUUGGUCUCCUCGUUAAAAUCUUUCACAUAUCAUUCACAAACGGUUAUAAUUAACUCAGCUUCACUUCCCUCAGUGGCCUACAUGCAUCUGUUCCCCAAUGGAAAUAUCAAACUGUCUUUUGAAGGGGCAAAACUAACCUGUUUUAGGAGACUUAAAAGAACAUAAAUGGCAAAUGAAAUCUAUUCUUCGGUACAAGGCGAUAUCUCCCUUUUUAAAUUUUUUUUUUAUCUUUGUGCUUCUUCCAUAUAUUUAAAUCUCAGCCCAGAGUUCUAGAGAAACACUUGCCUUGAAAGAUACAUAAAAGUUACUGUCUCAAAGGGGAAUAAAGCUGUCCGACCUACUGAUCAUAAAUACUCCUAAAUAUGACCAUAAUCAUGAACCCAAAAUCCAAACUGUGACUUAGCCUCAAGAAACCAUUUUUCCAACUGAUGUUCAAAUCUACCAUCUUCCUCCUUCUAAUCCUUUGAACAAAAGAGUAGGUACCCCUUUAAAAAAAUCACACGCACAAAUUCCCCACUCCUCACUCACCUUGUAUAUAGAAAAUAUACCUUGCACCGUAAUAUCUCAGGGAUUAACGUAAUAUGGUAUUGUGGCCAGAGCAGAUGUGUGAAAUCACAGCAAAUAAAUUAACACUCCAUUAAGAAUCAAAUCAGCCCUGCUGACACAUAAUCUUUCCCGUUUAUGUCAAGUCGUGAUUCCCAUUCACAUUGGGAGCUUCCCAGGGAGGCUCAUUAGACCUGCAGAAAGAGAUUUCUUUUAAGUCAAAGCUAUUCACAAGUUAUUCAGCUAUAGUGAGGGCAAAAGAGCCUUCCUGGCAUCUGGGUACCCGCCUCCCCACGAUCUCUUUGUCCCUGUCCACCCAAAGCCCCAGCCAUGCAGGAUAUAGCUAGGCUUCCUGCUGAAUUUGCAGACUGUAUAAAAGAGAUGAGGAAAUUACAGAGGAAAUAUGUGUGGGCAGGGCCUGCCCUUGAGAAAUUGUCAAACUGGGAGAAUACCUUUUGGUUGUCAUCAGCCUCUGCUGCUUUUACACCAGAGUACAGUGCUGAAAGUCAGACCUCAGGGCUGAGUUCUUCCUGCUGGCUUAGCUGAGCUUCCAAUAUUAUAAGGUGGGAUCGGAGUGAGUCCCCCGAAGAAAAGUCUCUAAGAGUUGGUACUUAUGCUCGAGCCCCUUGAAGACUCUACUCGCUGCCUGCUUCCUAACUUUCUGAAGCUGCCAACAUCUGUUUUGUUAGGAUCCCUGGGACUCAGGUGUAGUCUAGUUCAGAGGUUGUUUUUGUCAACCAAUCUGGCUUCUGGUCUCUCUUAAGCACCCACAACAAAGGCUUCUAUAGGAAGCUUCUUGGUUCUGCAGUGGAUUGAGACCAGAGAAGGACCACCCUCACUCAUCGGGCAUUCCGUGUUCAGUGCAAUUCAGUAGUUCUCAACCUGUGAGCCAUGACCCCUUUGGCAGUUGCAUAACAGAUAUCCUGCAUAUCAGAUAUUUACAGCGUGAUUCAUAACAGCAGGAAAUUAGAGUUAUGAAGUAGCCAUAAGAUAAUUUUAUGGCUGGGGGGUCAAUAAGAUAUGAAGGACUGUGUUUAUUAAAGAAUCAUGGCGUUAAGAAGGUCGGGGCUCUCCUGCUAUGCACUCAUGUUUCUACCCUGAUGGGACUCACCUUGAAUUUAGAUCCUGUUGACCAAUGAAGUCUCCAUCACGGUGCUCGCCCACUCCCAUCCCUUGCUCUCCCACCACAAAGGAAAGUAAUCCGAUAAGGGAACACACACCGGGUGUUAAUAACUGAUAACUACUUAAUGUAUUAUCCCUCUCAGAGGAAUUAUCCUUAUUUAAGUUUCAAAGCCUUCAUGCAAAGAAAUGAAGUUUUUUUUUAGAUAGUUUUUUUUAAUACUAUUUUUUAGAAGCGAACAACUAUUUGGGAGCAAGGGGUAUCUAAACCUUUCCAAGUGAUAUUGCACAAAAAGUACUUGCUUCAUUUAUUGCUCUAUAAAGGGGCCAACUUGUGGAAAUACGGGAAUCACACACAUGCAGUGAUUCUUGUAUUUACUGCAUCUGAAAGUCACCAGGGGGCUUUGAAAGCUCACAGUACCUAAGCUCUAAUCAGACUAAUAAAAAUCAGAAUUCCUUCCUAGAAGUGAAAUCUGUGCAUUUGUAUUUUCAAAAGAAAAAAUAUUUAGCUUAUUCUGGCUCCGGUAUGCAGUCAAAGUUAAGCCCCACUGUAAUAAUGAACAGAGUCAGAGUGUAGAGUAGUGGUACUCUUAACAAGCCCAGUGAAGCAGGCUUUCUCCUCACAAUGGGAAUGGCUGCCGCUGGACACAAAGCCAGAAUUUCAUUCUGAAAAUGUGUUCAUGUGGCUCUGUAAGUACUUAAUAUAAUCCACACAGGCUAAGUAGUUAGUUGCUAAACUGAAAACACCCAUCUCAUUUCAUCUCAGUCCACUCCUGGCCAUCUGCUCCUCUGAAUUUCCAUUACAGGGCCAUGUGUGUAUUAAUGAAAUGAUUGCAUCCGAUUACAUCUUUUAUUCAGAGAACAAGAAUGGCCCAUGAAUUCCGUCCUCCAGCAUUACUGCUUUUGUGGUGAAGUCACUAAUUAAGUUUACUCCGUUUCAGGCAGAGGUGGGAUCGCUGUUCACUAAGGUAAGAAAAUAAAUCGAAUAUGUUACUGCUGAUAAUAAAAUUAUAGUUUUUGCUGCCUAGCAACUAGAGGAUAGAAACUUCAAUCAAAAAUGUAACUUCAUUGUUUUUUGUUUGCUUGCUUUGCUCAAGACAGUGCUGUCCUGGCACUCUCUCUAGGCCAGGCUGACCUUGAAAUCAGAGAUCUGCCUACCUCUGCCUCCCAAGUGCUGGGAUUGAAGGCGUGUGCCACCACCACCCAUGGUAACUCCAUUUAAAACUGUCCAAAAUAUAUGACUGAUACCAACUGAGGAUUUUAUACCAACUUAUUACAAGUGGUAUAAAAGAGGGCCACCAAGCAGUUGAGCUUGCUCUCUCCUUUCCUACACCUCUCUAGAACAGCGUAGACAGUCAGAGAGCCACAUGCCUGGAUUAUAUCACUCUGUAGUUGUAUGGUUGAGUAGGCAUCAGAAUGAAAAAAAAAAGAAAGAAAGAAAGAAACAAGAAUGGAAAGGGAUUGAAUGAAUACAUAUUAUUGUCUAUUCACUCUAUUAACUAAUACUUAGUUAUUAUACUUAAAUUAUUACUUUAUUAACUGAUAACCUUUCCUACCUACAAUCUUUCAGAAGAGUUUUUAACAGUUUUUUUUAUUGAUUCUUUGUGAGUUUCACAUCAUGUACCUACCAUAGCCCCACUCAUCUAACCUCCACCCUUGUAAUCUCCCCCCACCAAAGGGAUAAAAAGCAAAAAUAAAUAAAUAAAUAAAUAAAAAAUAAGCCAACGAGAAGAAAGCAUGGCAAGCAUUUCAUCAUGGAAGCUGUAGCGUGUCAGUGUGUCCCACACUAGUCCCUUUGUCAAUGCAUCUGUACUUGCAAAUGCUCAUUGAGAUGAGUCAUUGGUCUAGUCUGAGGCAUAUUUUAAAAAAAAAUCAAUAGGCUUUCACGAAUAUCUAGUAUGUGUUUGUAAUCAUUGAUCCAAUCACAUUCUCCCAAAUCACUUAUACUUGAUCUCUGCACAUAGAGAUUUCUGACCCUCUCACUUGUUCAUUCACUUGUUCAACGAGACUUAGUCAUUGCUGCCUGGGUGACAGGAAGACACAGAGGUGAGCAGAGCAGCAUGGUCUCUGACCUCAUGGAACUUAAAAUCUAGUAGGAGAGACAUCUGCAUUUUAACCAGAUGGUAAAGAAUCAAAAAUAAUCUCAAAUGUCAAAGUUUACCUCGAAAACUGUGGUUAAGACAAACUGUUCAGUGACCACUCUGAGACAUGCAGGUCAUGGCGUAGAAUGGAGCAGGGAAAGGGUGGCCUACUCUAUGAGGCAGGGGUGAUGAAAGACAUUCUGUAGCUGAGAUGGGAGUGAGCAGUGAGCAAAACUCGAGGGAAAGGCAGAACAGCAUUCCCAGGUGGAGAAACAGCACAGAACAGCCCUAGGUGAGACACAGCCGCACAUUUAAAGAACUGACUUUUCUCCAUGGCUCAUCAAAGCAGGGAGACUCUUGAGACAAAGCUGCGGAAGUAGGUGGGCAUUAAUUCAAGAAGACCUCAAUAUGUUGGGUUAAAGAUGCUUAACUAUCUUUCUUAAUAGUCAUACGCACCAUUUGAAGAAAGGUAAGAAAGGAGUGAUACGACCAAGCUUAUUCUUUAAGGUUAAAAGAUAAUUACAUGUAUAUGUACGUAGCCAUGUGGGUACGUACUUGUGAAUGUACCACCCUCAGAGGUCCGAAGAGGGUGUCAGGUGUCUCGGAGCUGAAGUCUCAGGUGAUUGCACAGUAUCCCAAAUGGGUGUUGGUCUCUUCUAUGGCUGUGCAGUACGUGCUCUUAAUCCCUGAGCCCAUUGGGUUUGUCUGUUCAAUUUCAAAGCGAUGCUCCAUUUGCAUUGCAAGAAGAUUUGGUUACAAAGGUGCAUUUCUUUUCUAGUUUCCGUGAUCAAGUAGCUGACAGGAAGCAAGUCCAGGAGAGCGCGUUUACUUCUGCUUACAGUUUGAGAGACUCUAUCCUGCUGAAAGAGAAAGACAAAGACAGAAUAGCAGGAUCCCUAGCUGGAUCAUCACUUUUCACUACAGUCGGGGAAACAGAAUGAAUGGAAAGUGAUCUUAUCUAUAAGACACCACCGCCCCAUCCCAAAUUAGUGACCACUACACCUCCUAAAGGUUCCACAGCUUUCCCAAACAGUACCAUUACCUGGCCAAAUCUUCAGACAUGUGACUGACUGACUAUGGGGUGUUUUACUUUCUGACCACAACAGAGUGAGCAAGAAUAGAGCCAAGGAAAAGAGAGGGAUACUGCUACUGCAGAUCCCAGCUGCAGUAUCCGAGAAUAUCCUCACACAGAUACCUGUCUUCCUUCAAAGAUUAUGUUACACCAAAGAAACGUGUUUCUAGAUCUAGCACAUGAUUGCAUCUACCAGCAGGUAAAUUGUAAUACUAUUUAAUUAUGGAGAAAACAGAUAGAUCCUUGGUACAAUGGCCAACAGAAACCACAAGUGGAUAAAUCUCAGAGGUAAUUGUCCAUUGUGACGCCGCACCCAAACUUGUUCAUUUUUAGCCACGGGAAACAAAUGAUGCAAGACAGCUCUCUGGCAUUUGUUGAUUCCAAUGAAUGGUAAGAAUGGCCACUCAGUGAAGGAGUCAAGAUUCCUGUGUUCUCUGUCUCCCUCCUUCUACCCUCUCCAAUAAAAGUCCAAGUUUGCCUCUAUUCAAUAGUUCAGCAAAGUCUAGAAUGAAGUCUAGGUGGGGGAGUAGGGUUCCGCACAAGAAGAAAUAUAUUGAGACAUUAAUAUUAGGAAAUGCCCUGAGUUUUAUUUAAAGGAUUGAUUGAUUGAUUGAUUGAUUGAUUUAUGUAGGGUAACUGUCAAAAUAGGACUAAAGCGUUUGACUACCAAGUAGGACUAAUACCGCUAUUAACCAGCAAUCAUAAAGAGGAUAAAAUGAAGCUAUGUCCUCAAGAAAACAGACACUUGUUCCAAGCACGGUGCCACAUCUCAAGCGUGUUUCUGAGCAUCUAUUUGGCUUCUGUUUGGGGGUUGUAUCCAAAGCCCCUUGUUAGUAGACUAGAAGACUCUCAUCAGUCAUUUAAAAUAUCCACCUUGUUUUCUUUUCUUUUCUUUUUUUCCUCUACAGGUUUUAUGAGCCAACUUGGUUACUCAAAUGUGAAAAUGCAUUUUUUUUCAGUAAGUCUAAAGUUAAAAAAGAUUUUUAAAAACGGCUCGCACCUGCAUUGCAUAGCGGGCAGCUGUGCGGUCGGGUACAACUUCGCUUUACUUCUAUGAGUUCCGAGUUGGGAAGGCUCUUCGUGUCGGCCAUUAGCACCCGGGGUCUUCUGGUUAUUGGCAAAAUCAACCUUCCCUUCAGAGGAUGAGUUUGCCACUACUGAGGAUACUUAUAAAUACUUAUAAAUACACCAGCUCCAGAGAAAACUCACAAUCAUGAGUCAGCAAGUGCCUAAACUGCUCUUCAUAGGAGCAGCCGGAGGCACUGUCACGUGACCUUCCUUCCGGGUGCGGUAAGAGCCACAGACUACACUGUGGCACUUCACAUUGUCAAGUGCAUAGUCGCUGAUGUACUAGGGCGGGGAUUCGUGGGGGUUUUCUGGUGAAUGAGUAAGUUAUGCUGAAUAGGUUUCAGUUUCCUUCAGAGUUCAUAUUUUCUGGGAUCGAAAGUGAUCAGCAGUAGAGUGCACAGGUCCUUAAUUCCAACACUGCACAUGUAUGUAUGAGCACACAUAUACAUAGACAUAUACACACAAUGUUUCUAGGCAAGCAUUCAACAACUAAGCUGCACUUCUUUCCCAGAACUAUAGUCAAUGUGAUUUAUAUAUGUAUUACACACACACACACACACACACACACACACACACACACACACACCAUUAGGUAGAGUCUUUAAAACUUAAGAAAAUAAUAAAUAGGGGAAACAACUUACCAGAAGCAGAAGUUUAUAUAUGUCGGUGGGUGGGUGUACUGGACAUGACAAAGAUUUGGAGAGCUUAGUCUAUGUUAAGAUAGGGUCGGAUGGGUCAUUGUUAUUGAUGCCUAUAGUUAUAAGCAUUCCGGAGAAUUUUGCCUUCCAGGAUAGCCUGGGUAUAGAGUGAGACUCCCAUCAUAAAACAAGUCCACAGAGAUGGCUUGUCGCUUUGUCUCUCUUUCAGAAUACUUCAUACAUCUUGCCAACUAUUGAUGAAAUAUACAAGCUCCCACACUCUUACUGAAAUGUAUACACUACAGGCAUUGUUGUAAUUUCUCAGUGGAAGACAAGAUGCAUGCUUAAUCCCCAAGCACUAUUUAAAGGAUCAAUAUCAUAUCUAAUUCUCCUAAGAAUCUUUGAGAAAGAAGGAUCGGACGUCACUAAACUUGGCAACAAUACCCAAAGAUUUAUCUACAGCUUAGAACACCGCUGAGAUUCAUAUAGUCACCCCACAGUCAUCUAGAUGUCAAAGUAUUAGCAGGACUAAACUUUUUACUCUAUCCCUGUUCUCUUGCUCUCUAGAUCCUCUCUUUCCCAUUAUGUGUUCAGCUCUACACCCUGGAUGCUUAUCUUUACUGGUGACUUCUCUGAGACUGCACUCAGUUUUGACCCAUACGAUGUCCUAGCAAGUUUAAAGGAUAGAAGGACUGUGAGGUCUCCUCCCUGCUUCGUGAUGUUUCCAGUGCAUCUUUGUGGCUACAGUUUCAUGCCCUUCAAAUCUCACAAUGUUCUGAUAAUUCUAUUUUUCUCCCCGUGCCUUCCAACUUUUAUGUAGUAACAUCUUCCUACAGCUCUUACACCUUGGCUGUCUGAGCAUCUACAUCUUAUUUUCUUCUAUAUGUCUUUCCUUCAUUGAAAACUUUUCUUCAGAAAUCACAACUGAGUCGUCUGAUUCCUGACUGCCCUGCUACCAUCCUUUUUUAGUUUAUUUUUAUGAAAGAGUGACUAAAAAUAUAACCUAUCUCCUCAAACCAAAAGCCUGGAAGUCUAUUCCUAUUUUUGCACCCAUUCAUCAAGCCACGAUGACCCAUUUAUCCCUAAAGCACUAAAGUGCCUCUAAAAGCACCCUCUUCUCCACCUCUCUCCUUCCUUCACAAGUUAUUCGAUCCAGAUCCUCCCACAAUGCCUCUGUUUAUCUCCUAAACUCUCUCUCAUGCUACUAAUGAAAUGUUGCUUCUAUGAUGAGCUCUGGCUGUUGCAGUAAAAAUAAAAAAUGGCGGAACCGGUUUCCUGUGUACUCUGGCAGUCGCACUCUCACUAGUUCUGGCUCUGGCUGGCAUGCCAUUGGAACUAUCGCUAAUUAUCUCAGCGGCUUCACACUGCCCCCAUCUACUUUCUGACCCGCUGUCCAAGAGCCAUUCUAACAUGGCACCUGUCAGGCUGCCCCACCCUCACUCACAGCUCUCUUGGCUGGUUUCCAUCACACCAGGCAUACACACCCCAAUUCAUGGCAGCCAGGUGCAUCUAGCCACCAUACACUCUCUUGACCUCAAUUAAGUUGCCACAUGAAAGAACACAUCACACAAUAUCCUCUGAUCCAAUUGAUAAGAUAUAAUUUGCCCAUCUAGACAACACAUCCUAUACACACUCAUCCCUUUAAAAUAGUCAUAAAAAUGGGGGGGGGGAACUCAGUGGUUAAGAGCACUGACUGCUCUUACAGAGGUCCUGAGUUCAAUUCCCAGCAACUACAUGGUGCCUCACAACCAUCUAUAGUGGGAUCUGAUGCCCUUUUGUGUGGUAUCUGAUGACAGUGACAGUGUACUCACACACAUAAAAUAAAUCUUUAAAAAAAGUUAAAAAAACAGUCAUAACAACCUGUAAUAUGUGCAGAGAGGAAUCUUAACCUCCGUUGCCAUGUUCUCUCAGCUGCUUUUUCCUCGCUCCGGCCUCCUCUGCUUCUCUAAAACUUUUCUCCCACCCAUCCUUCCCUCUUGUCCAGUGACCUGCUUUGUUCUAUCCUGUACCUGCCUUCACCUGCAUAAUGACAUCAACCUACAUCUGCCCAGACUAUCUGCCAUUCUCCAGGGGUUCUUACAAGUCUUAUGAGUAGGUUGGCCCACAUCCAGGAAGUCCCUUAGAAUUUGGUCCAUACCUACUUCUCUGUUCUGUUUCCACACUGCCUUCAUUCUUACCAUACAGACCUUCAUAGAACUUCAAAGCCUGAUACACUCUUCCUUCCCACAUUUUCAUGUGCUGCCUCUGCCAGGAAUGUCCAUCCCGAAACUUCCUCUGGCGGUCCCUGACUCACUGUCCCUAAACCUCUUUCUAGUCUGUAAUUUCAACGGGGUCUAUGGCACAAACUGAUUCUGUAGAUGGGUCUGCUCUACUCUCUCAAGUUUCAGAGCAGGUCCCGUGAUGAAGAUCUCAGCAGAAACCUUAGCAGAAAUAGAGUCGGCAUGGUUGAGAGCUAAGUGGUUUUGCAUAUCCUGAAAUCCAUCUGUCUUUCUUCAUCUCUAUCACUCACUACCUGGUCCGGUUCAUUUAUAUUUUCCACGAAUAAUUCAGUAGCCUCUUUACUGACCUCCCUGCUUCUAGCCUUCCCCUGUCCCAUGUACCCUUCACACUGCAAUGAGCAUGCAUUGCAAGUCCCGCCCUUUCUUUCCACAUUAAUAUGGAAACUCUCUAGGAUGUGAAUUCUCAUAUAAACCGACUACUGUCCACCUUUUCAGUUUCAUUUCUUACCGAUCCUUCUCUGCACCCUGGCUGGACUGAGAUAACUGCUAUCCCCCUAAUUCACCAUGGUGUUGUGGUCCAGGUCACAGCAUCUGGUACGCUCACUGCCUGGAAACUUUCUGACAGCUGCCUCCCCACUUGCCUGCCCCUCUUAGGGCAGUCCUGGAGUACAUCUGAGGACUCCCAUGCCCCCACCUUUCUCCAUCCACUCGUGGGUUGCUCCUGUUGCUCCCCUAGCAUAUCUCUUCCUCAGCUCCACAGCAGCCCUUCUCACUACCACACGCCAAGCUUCUCAGAUGCAGACUGUUUUUAUUUAUUUCUAUUGUUCCAGUUUGCUUCUGCUUUUAUAUACUUCAGUGUCUAGGACAGUCUGUGAGAUGGAAUAGAUACUCAAAUAUUUGCUGAGUGAUAAGAUAGCAUGAAGGAGAGCAUUAAGACUCUGAUGGGAGAGAUUAUUUUGUCCAGAUUUCUCCAAGGCCAGUAAAAUCAACCACACACACACACACAAACACACACACACACACACACACACACACACACACACACACACACACACACACACACUCACCCUUUGCAUUGCCUUUUCCAGUGAGCCUUGCUGACUUCACCCUUUUCUUUAUAUAUGUCUAGUACCCUUUAGGGGGCAUCUGUUUUUGAAGACAAAAUGAUAUGUGAAUGUGGUAGAUUUGAACCUAAAUCCUGCCAUGCAGUUAUUUCUGGAGCUAAAUUACUUUGCUUUUUGAGCACCAAUUUUCUCCGUUGUUAGAAGGCAACAAUACACAGGUGGAGUACAUGACAUAUUGCCUACUACACGGGAGCUGCUCCAUAAAUGGAAGUCUCUAGUACUUUUCUUUUUUUGCCUCUAGUCAACUUGAUGGAAUUUAGAAUCAUCAUGAGCAUGUCUAUGAGGACUUUUAUAGAUUAGUUUAAUUGAGGGGGUAAGACCCAUCUUAAAUGUGGACAAUAUCAUUGCAUGGGCUAGAGUCUCAAACUGGCCUAAAAGAGAGAUUGCUAGCUGGGUACCAGCCAUCAUUACCUUAUGACUGCACAUGCAAUGUGACUAGCACACUCUUGCCUCCAUGACUUCUCUAAAAUAUACCAAAGAAGAGUGACCCAAAAUAAAUUCCUCCUUACGUCACUUUUAAAAAAAAUUAUUUAUAUGUAAGUACACUGUAGCUGUAUUCAUGCACACCAGAAGAGGGCAUCAGAUCUCAUUACAGAUGGUUGUGAGCCACUAUGUGGUUACUGGGAAUUGAACUCAGGACCUCUGGAAGAGCAGUCAGUGCUCUUAACCACUAAGCCAUCUCUCUAGCCCUCCUUAAAUCACUUUUGCCAAGUAUUUUGUCUCAGCAAUGUAGGAAGAAAGGACAUCCCUACCCUUUGUGCAUCCCAACUUCCCAGUCCCUUCUGGGUUUGGAUUUGAAAGUGAAAAAUUGUACCGCUACAAUCCACAAGGGCAUAGAGACAUGCUCAUGUUAGUUCAGUGAAUAAAAUUCUUGAUUUUACUGAUUAUCAACCUGGGAUUUAGAGAGAUUAAGUGACCUGCUUAAAUCUUACAGCUGGGAAAUGGCUAAGCCCAAAGCCACAACCCAAAACUAAUGCUAAAGCGGUGUUUAUUUUGUCCAAUCGCAUGAGGCCACCGAUGAAUACAUAUAUAUCUCAUAGCGAGGUCCUUGGGUACAUCAGGCAAGCAUCCUACAACUGGUCCCCUCCUCUGCCCUCUGUUAACUUUUUCUUUUGAGACAGAAUCUCACAGAGUCUGGUUAGCAGGCUGGGCUUGCUAACCAGAGCUUGCUGUGCUACUGGUUCAGCUUCCUGAGAGCUAGGUUUAUAGAACUUGUGCUCCAGCCCAGCUGCAAAUGUUUCCCUCAAAUGCUUUUUUAAUCUCUUCUUUGUCUUUCUGUUCUAAAAUUUCACAAUGACAUGCUUCAGUCUGGAUCAACAGCUUUAUCAAUGGAGCUAGAGACAGAGGGCCGUCUCAGUUAAAAGCAAAUCUUGCCUCCAUUCUGCGGGUUAUUUUUGAUGGUUUCCUCCUCAUCUUCACUGGUCUGUUCUGGUGUUUGCUCCUAGGAUUUGUCACGUGAAUCCUGACUGAUCCGACUUGCUUGUUUUUUUUUGCUCUUUCUUUAGUUCUCUAUUUCUUUGCUCUUUUUCCUUGUACGGAAAGUUUUUUGCUUUCUCCUUUUUUCUUAAAUGCAUGCAUGUGCAUUUGUGUGGAUGUGUGUGUGUGUGUGUGUGUGUGUGUGUGUGUUUGUGUGUGUACACACAUGUAUAUACAAGAAGGCCAAAGGUCACAUAGGUACUUUUCUCAAUCAGCAUCAACCCUAUGCUUUAAGACAGGGUCUCGGAGGGAACCCAGGGUUAACUAAUUUGGCUACAGUAAUUAGAUAGUAAGCCCCGGGGAAUCCUACUGUCUCUGCAGAAGCACUGGGUUAUAGGUGCACCACGCCUGGCCUUCUUACAUGGGUGAUCUGGAUCUGAACUUGGGUCCUCAUAGUUGUACAGCAAGCACUCGACCAAAGGAGUCAUGCUGCAGCCAUGAGAAUGAUAACUUUCUGUACAGCAAGCACUCGACCAAAGGAGUCAUGCUGCAGCCAUGAGAAUGAUAACUUUCCAAGGUUACUUAUUUUCUACAGUCUUUUCUGCCUCUAUUUUAAGUUUACUUAGAACUCCACAUUGAACAUUACUCUUCAGAUAGCUGUUUGUCAACUCAUGUCUAAACAUGGAUAGAGUACCAGGAAACAGUCGGAAACUCUGCAUGCGUGAAUGGAAGCUGCUGGCUUUGAACUUUGCUGCAAAGUCAUUGUUCUUCAACAGAGGAAAGACAAUGGGUGUGGCUAGUCGUUUCUAGAGAGUAGGGAGUAGGCAUGGUCCCUGUUGUCUGACAACACACAAUGUAGCUUCCUCACAGCAACAAUUAUCCUGCCUAGCUCACUGGACCACUGAAUUAGGAAUCCCAGGACAGCACUAUUUAUCCUUCUCUUGACAUGAUCAGGUUCUUCAGGCAGGAGCACACCAGUCUCCUACUUGGACCGGGAAAACCUUGCUUCCAACAUUCUGUGUGCAAUCCUGCCCUUAGCUGCAUUUUUAUUCUCGUUCACCCUUAGCUCCUGCAGCUAUUUCUACAGUUAGCUGUCAGUCACAAUCAGCUGUCUGUCUACUUUUCAGCCUCCCUUUCUCUUUGUUCUUAGGUAUUUUUGCCUUCUUAAAAUGGGUUUGCUAUUGAAAUGGUUGAGAUUUCGGAAGGGGAUGGGAAUAAAUACAUGUGUUCUCUCCCCUAUUAGUUGGAGUCUCAAGAUUCUAUUUUUCCCAUUGAUGCAUUCACUGGUGUCCGCUAGUAUGGAAACCCUAGACACAAUGAAUCAAGUGAAAACAGUGCCUGCACGAAAUGCCUGCCACCUAAAGUAUAGUGUCUAUGCUUCGAUGAAUUUCUUCUGGCCAGUUUGAAGGAGGCUCAUGUUACGGGGCGGGUUUUGAUAUCAGUGGUGAGUUGAUACCUUUUCUUCUCUUAAGGAAAUCUAUUUACUACAGUUACCAGGAAAGACUAAUUUGGACUGUAUAUAGUCUGUAUAUUUUAGUGUAAUAGGGGCAGAAAACAGGUUAAAGCUAAGCCCAGGAGGAAACAAGAACCCAAACACAGUGUUCCAGAAAUAAAAGACCAGCCUGGAUUAAUUGACUCAUUGAAGUUCUAUGCAAACAGAGACCAGAUUUCUUCUGUUGACCAAUUACCAGAACCUCUGAGACAGCGGCUUCAUCUCAGUGUCACUGCCUGCAGUUUCCUUAGAAAUCUGAUUUUCACUGUGGUCCCUUGAGAGCUGAUAGCUCUGGAGGAAACCUAGGCUGUGCCCUGGACUUCUAUCCACGCACUGAUGCUCCCAGUGUCACUGCAGUAAUAGUUGCAUCUGUUAUGAAAGCAGAAAGAGGCCACAGCCAUCCUUCCCAAGUCCAGUGAGUGCUGGCUGUGACUUCUUCACGAUUGCACUUAAGUCUUGCAUGAAGGUAGACCAUGCACUACAAUAAAGGCAGGAAAAUUUCUAAUGUCAAGUAGAAGACAUCAUUUAAAGCACACAUUUGCAUGGAAAUUGUGCUAUUAUGUGCAACCCAGAACAGCUGAAACUUGAGCCCAGAAUGGUAGGACUCCUCCAUCUUAACUGCUAAGAAAAGGGACCACUUGUAUGGUGCCAUGGCAACAGCAUCAUGUCCAAUGGUUCUUGAAGAAAACCAUGCAGAAACAUGAUCAGAAUGCACAAAGGUUUGCUAUUGAUUUGAUGAAACAAUAGCCAAAAUAGUUCAUUUUAUCAUAUUCUAAUAUUUUUCAUUUAAAAAUAUACGAAGAAUAUUCAGCAUAAAAGAAUUGGGAUGUGAAAGUGCAAAAAGAAAACUACAGUCAGUCUCGGAGUUUUUCGUGCCUCUAUAGACUCACAUAUUCAUGAAGGAAAGCAAAAUAACAAAACAAAAAACAAAAACCAGGGUUGUUUGUGUUUUACAAAUAACAAAAAAAAAAAAAAUCCUAUCAGAGAUUUUCACUGAAAGGGUUGCACAGAGAUACAAAGAAAGGAAGUAAACCCUGAGCAGAAUAUGAGGGGAAAAUAUAUCCUAGAUUUUCUACUGUCCAUGUUAAUGUGGGUAGAAUGGUGAUGUAAGAGAAGUGGAACAAACAUGGCUGUAAAUGCACAAAACUUUAGGUUGGUGGCAAACACUAAGUGCUUAUGGACAAACACCAAAAGAAUAGAAACGAAGGACUGGAGAGAUGGCUGAGCGGUUAAGAGCACUGACUGUUCUUCCUGAAGUCCUGAGUUCAAUUCCCAGCAACCACAUGGUGACUCCCAACCAUCCAAUGCUCUCUUCUGCUGUGUGUCUGAAGACAGCUACAGUGUACUCAUAUAAAUAAAAAUAAGUCAAUCUUUAAAAAAAGAAUAGAAACACAGUGCCAGACUUCUUGACGGUACAGAGAACAAUCUCAGGUAAAGCCAGCAUCAAUGCCUGCUGUAGCUGCCGGUGUCCUAGGUACAGUGGGUGCCUUAAAUAGCACAUACUGGUUUCUCACGGUGCUACAGGAUGCCAGUUGUUCCCAGUAGACACUUUUUUCUUAGCUUAUAGUUAGCUUUCUUCUUGUUCCAGUCUCUUAUGAUGAAAAAACAUUGGGAAAGGGAGGGAGUAGGAUCCAGGGAAUAAAAGGAGAGGCAGGGGUGUGAGGAGACAGUGUGAGUCCCUAACAAUGACCCACCUCCAUGACUUCAUAGAGUGACAAAGGCACUGUGAAGGUCGCAGCUCCUAAUGCCUCCUUGCAGGGAGUAGAGUUCAGCGUCUGUGCUAGUUAAGGUUGGGAGUGGGGAGAGGGUUGUCUGUUGUGCUUUGUUUUGUUUUGCUGUGACAAAAUAAGGAAUAAACAACUUAAAGAAGGAAAGUUUUAUUGUGGCUCACACAUUCAGAGGUUUCCCCAUUGCAUUUAGGCCUGUGGCAAGGUGGAAACAUCAAGGCAGAAGGACAUGACUGAUAAAAGCUGCCUGCACCUAAGCAGACAGGACGCAGAGAAAAAUGGAGAUCAGGGAUAAGAUACAAAGUUAUCAGGGCCCAUUCCUAGUGACCCUCUUCUUCCCAUCUUUGGGUUUCCACCAAUUCACAAGAACACCACUAAUUAUGAAUCCAUCAACAAAUCAAUUCAUCAAUUAGGUCAAAGCUCUCGUGAUGCAAUCACUUCCCUACAUCCUCACCUCUGAACACCCUCAUCAUUGAAAACCAAGCCUUCAACACAUGAGUCUGGGGGCAAUAAGUCACACUGAUCCAUUGAAGAUGUAAAUUGGAUGGUUGAAAAUGACAAGCAUCAAAGGGGAGCAUCACGGAGAGAGUGCACUAAACCUCUGGAACAUGCAUGUGCUCCUCCUAUUAAUCUGGAGACAAGAAAGUCUUAAGUUCAAGGCCAGCCUGGGCUAUGUAACGUAUACUACCAUUGACUUUAUAAUCAGACCCUGUCAACAAAUAAAUGCAGUAAUCCAAAAAAACCAGCAACAGUAAGCUGAGGGCGGGGGACAGGGGGAUGGAACUGAGUUCCUUCUCCAGCAUUACAAAAAGUGUACCACAUAUCAGAUGAAAAAUAAUGACUAUAGAAGUACCAAGAUAUUAUGACUCAUUCAUAUGAUUUCUGCAAUUGAUUUAGUAUGGCAUAUGAUUUAGUAAUCAAAAUGGAUGAAGAUGAUACAUAUGUGUUAGUUAGAAUAGAUACGUGAAACUGAACACAGAAUGCCCACGAGACAUUGGGUAAGUAAUUAGAUUCAACUCUUGUAAAAAUGUUCAAAAGAAAAAAAACGUAACUUCGCUUUACACUUGGUUACUUUUAGUCAUAUGGGUAUUGAAUGUAGUGUAGGGAAACUGCAGAUGGGAUUUAAAGGCUAGCCUCCUAUUAUACUAUUAUACUGUAGUGCAGGAAAGAAGAGUAUGUUGCGUUUGAUGUUUUGGGGGGUGUGUUCUUGUUUCUGAAGCAUCUGUUGUUUCGCAGAUGCUGUUCAAUGUUGAACUUGACACAGUAAAAGGAAACAGACAAAAGUUACUGCCCUUGUGGAAUUAAUAUGAAAAAAAGUCAGAGGUUAAUAAAACAAUCAUUCACAAGAUGUAAACUGUUGGUAUCUAUGUCCAGGAAGAGGGGUGAGGGAGGGCAAGGUUGGAGAGCGGAGCUUUCUAGAUGCACAGAGCAGCAGGAGCAACAGUCUGGCAGUGGGAGUGCCAUGCAGAAGACAGGGAGUUCCAGGGCUGGGGGAAGGGUGAGAGAUCCUGCUGGAAAGGAAGACAGGAUUUUGUAGACCACAGGAGCAGGAAGUCACCAAGGAGGCUGUGUAGGAAGGGAAGGUUAAACAGAGCUGCGGGUUUAGGUCACUCCCUGUAAAGGAUGUUGAGCAGGUAGGAGGAGCUGCAGGGAUAAGAGAAAAUGUCAUCAGGGAUAAAGACGUAGGCCCCCUGUGGAGUAUGUUCCACAGUAUUCUAAAGCGUCCCCCUUUCCUUUGGCAUCCGCACUUGGGCAUAACCAGGAUUCCUGCUUCACCACAGAAAAGAUUCCUAAGAGGAGCCCUUAGGAAGCCAGCCUGGAGAUUUAUUAAAAGACAUUUUUAAUGUAGAUAUAUGAACAGAAUUAUUACCAAGAAAGAAACUGUGGCCAGAUAGUGUGAGGUUCUCCAAAGUCACCAUAGGUUUAUUUAUUAUGGGUAUAUAUAUAUAAGAUUUUGGUGAUAUUUAAGUUAAACCUAGAGGUCUGUAAGAAAGACUACUUUCCUCAACAGGGCUCAAAGGGUGUAGCUUACAUCAAGGCCCUAAGGUGGAGAUUUAGGAAUGACAGGGAAGGGUCUGAAACUUACUCAGUCCUAAGUAAACAGAGUUUACUUACUACUGUCUUUGAGAAACAUACAUUACCUUCACAGCCAGACUGUGUUGUCAUGCUCUCUGGCCAUGUCCCCAUAAUUUAUAUGGAGAUUGAUUACUAUAGCUUUUCAUCAGUCUGGACCUGGGGUGGGAGAGGAAGGGAGAUAAAAUUUGUUGAUGUAAUUUACAUACACACACACACACACACACACACACACACACACACCAUCAAAUGACAGGUGACUGAGAAAAAAGAGGCAAGGAUGAGUCCCAGCCAUAACAGAAUUGACAAUUAGCAUUUAGUGUGGUGAGAAGACCUGGGAUGUGACCAAGUUUGUGGGAAGGAUUAUAAAUUUAAUUUUGGACAAGUUGACAAAAAAGCACCCUUGACAUAUUUAAGAGAGACCCAAGAAGGUAGGUGAAUAUGAAAAUUUGAAACACAAAAGUGGGAAUUAAAACAAGAGAGGUUGUUCCGUGAGUUAGGGAGGGAAUACAGUAUGGUACAUUCUUGGUGCUGAGAAGUUCCCUCGUGACUGAUAGGCAAAUGCUGAUCUUGCAAAGGACACAAAACAGCUGAAGUUUAGAGAAAAAUAGUGACUUCAGUAAGGAGACAACAGUAAACUGAGACAACUGACCAAACCCUCUGACCGUGAGUCCCAUGUACACUGCCUAAGGACCCUACCCACUUCUUCCAUGACGUCGGCCCUGUUGCCUAAGGAUCAAGUGGAACCCAUGGACUCCCCAAGUAGCAACCUCUCCACAAGAAGUUAUCCCUGACCACAACCACCCUUAGAACACUGUAGACCUUCCAUAGAUGCCUGAGGGUUUGCAGCUGGCUCUGUGGAAGGUUUGCACUUGUGCUCAGAGGCUGUAUCUAUCGCUAGCUGAGCUAGGCCCACUUCUGUUACCUUGAUGACACAUCAACACAGAGUGACCCUAAGACUGAACUCCAGGUACCAUUCAGCUGGUCCAAAGCCUGACACACUGUGACAAGAGCAAACAGAUAUCCACAGGUCUACUCAACAAAAGUGGGAUACAUAUUGUGAUGGUUUGCAUAUGCUUGGCCCAGGGAGUGGCAGUAUUAGAAAGUGUGCCUUGUUGGAGGAAGUCUGUCACUGUAGAGGUGGACUUGGAGACCCUCCUCCUAGCCACCUGAAGAUGUUCAAUCUAUUCCUGGCUUCCUUCGGAUGAAGAUGUAGAACUCUCAGCUCCCCCUGCACCAUGCCUGCCUGGAUGCUGCCAUGCUCUCGCCUUGAUGAUAACGGACUGAACCUCUGAACCUGUAAGCCAGCCCCAAUUAAAUGUGGUCCUUAUAAGAGUUGCCUUGGUCAUGGUGUCUGUUCACAGCAAUAAGACCCACACUAAGACACAUAUCCAUAUCAGAAUCACUACCUGACUCCAGAUGUCUUGGUCCCACGGCAAAAACACAAACAACACAAAUAAGCAAGAUAGUGUGUCUCCUCCAGGAGUCAGCAGCCUCACAGCCAUGUUCCCCAGGAAAAAGAACUUAGAUGGCACAUGAGACAAUUAUUUCAAAAUAGCAAUUAUAAAUAUAUAUGAGGUACCCAGAAAGAAUAUGAUUAUAUCCUGGGAAAAAGACCAUGAAAACACAAACAGCUGAAAGAAAUUAAACAAUUCAAGAUAUAAAGAGAUAGAAUUUCUGAAGAAAACCUAAACUGAAAUAAACCUUGAAGUGAAAAAAAUUCGGUAAGUAAAACUAAUGUGUCCAAUGCACGGCCUGGAUCCAGUGGGUGUGGGCAACAUCAAGGCUGGAAGACGAAGCAGAAGAGUUGGAUCUGUCAGUCAAAGAAGAGGAUGAAUCCAAGGAAAACUGUCUAGGAAGCAGUGAGAUGGAUGUCUUCAGAGACGUUCUGGUACCAGAGCAGCAUUAGCAGAAUCAAGCGAAGUCUAGACUGAAUGGAAAGAAGCGAGACACAGAGAAAUAGAAAAACACCAUUUGGAGAAUUCUGGCUGUGAAAAGGAGAGAGAAACCAGAAGCUAAAAUAGGAUGUCAGGUUUAGGCAGAGCACUUUGUUAUAGAAAGAUGAGCAUGCAUAUCGAUGUGAGGCUCUAAGAGUCCUAGUUUGUUUUCUUGUGCUAUAAAACACUGACCAAAGCCAAUGUGGAACGGAAAGGAUUCAUUUGGCUUACAGGUUAGAGUUCGUCGUUGAGAAAAACCAAGGCAAGAGAUCAGCACCGGAGCUUGAAACAAUAACAGUAGAUGAGUGCUACUUCCUGGAUCUCAUCCCAGACCUAGCAGCCUAGGGAUGAUACUGCCCACAGUGGGCCCUUCUAUACCAAUGAAAUAUCUAGAACACAUCCCACAGACAUACCCAUUGAUCCAAAGAAGAAAGUUUCUCAGUUGAGGCUUUCUCUUCCCAGGUGUGUCAAGUUGACAACUGUAGGUAACUAUGGACACCAACAAAGUUUCUUUUUGAGCCUUCUGAUUUCUUUUUUCAAGUUGGAAGAGGGAAGUCUUAAGAAGCAAGGAAGAGGAAGGGGGGGCAGUGAAAAUAGUUGUUAGGAAAGGUUAAAAAAGGAGUUCUGAAAUAACACCAGUUUUUGCAUAUUUUCCUGGUGCGGGCAUCUUUAGUUGCAAGUGUUUGGUCCUCUUAGAUAAGCACUCAUAUAUCUUUCAGUAUUGUGAACUUUGUGUUUAGUUCACUUUGGUUUUUAUUCUGUAAGUCUCCAGUCCGUAGUUUAAGUCUUCAUGCCAUGUAUGUAACUGACCUUCAUGAAAUGAUGACCAAGUUCUGAAUGUAACUUCUGAGACCACCUAGAGCCAUUCUUCAAAUAUGACAAGCAGUGUUUUCUGGAAUAGAGGGUGGAAGGAACAAUAUUGGUGAAAAGCGAUGAGGCUAUUCAAAAUCAUUCUGUGGCGGUAGGAAGGCAUGGAAGUAGGGGACUCCUUUGCUACUCGCUUGUCCAGCUCCAGGAAGUGACCUGCUCAGUCGAUAGGAUAAGACUUGAUGUUCAUUCCAGAUUCUCUAACGAGACCGUCGGGGCCUCUGGGUGAGAUUCUUGGCAUCCUUGUAUUGAAUACUUUAUAUCACUUCCUGCACUCCCAGCGCCAGUAGAAGACUUCUGGCUUUCAUAAACAGAGGCUUUUUUAGUUAAGUCAGUGCCAACCCUGACAGGUGAGUUUCUUCUUUAUCAAAAGCUAAGGCUUAGUCUGGAUUUUCUCAGGUCCCACACAGAUCCAUCUUUCUCUUUUCUUCUCUUUUCUUCUCUUCUCUUCUCUUUUCUUUUCUUUUCUUUUCUCUUUCUUUCUUCCUUCCUUCCUUUCUUUCUUUCUUUCUUUCUUUCUUUCUUUCUUUCUUUCUUUUCUUUAUGGAAAAUUUAUUGCAGCUCUCCAACCACGCAUUUUUUUGUUUCAACAUCUUGCUCUGCAGCUUCCUUUCCCCUCUUUGCUCAGAUGCUAAAAAGUCAGGCAUUAGCACGGGCCAUGCAAAGACUGGCAAAAGCCUCAAAGUUCUUCUCUUCUCCUGUGAUGACUCUGGCCUUUUCCUUUUUGUACGCAUUCCGGAUGGGCAUCACAGGUCCUGUUAGCUGGGUGACCAAUUUAAGAUCUUCAGCAGAACUGUCUCCCUUCUUCAGAGCAGAAGGCUUCCCGGGGAAAGUAUGAGCUUGGAGCAGUACUCCUUCAGUACCUGUAGUGAUACAGUCGUUUUGUUUCGCUUCCUUGGGUUCACCGAGAUGCCAAUGGUGCGAGCCAUUUUCUUGUGGAUACUGCCACCCUGAGUUCCUCCAGGCCGAAGCCCCUGGCAGCCUGGACCUUGCUGUGGUAUAUUAACUGUAGAGCACCUCAUGAUGGGCCUGAUGGAACCCGACGUGGGGCGAGGGGCAAUGCAGCGCGCUUUUGCCUGCGUGUUUGCAGAUCUUGCAUGCCAGCUGGUUGAACUAAGUGUCUGCUCACUGCUGCCAGUCCUCGUGGAAGUGGGGCUUCGGGUUUAUGCCAUUCCAGCUGGGCACCAUGGCUGCCUCCUGUACAGGAGAGUGGCUGAGCAGAAAGGUCCAGCUCCAUCUUUCUUUGUUCUUUGAAUCUAUUGCUUGCAGAUGGGAUGAGUUGUAGGGGAUCAGCAUAGGGCAACUUUCAAACUAAACCAGGUGACAUAACUGUCUCUUUCAACAACAGUAGAGUCCUGGGAUGAGCCGUCCACAUCGUCCAUGAAGUUUACCUCAACACUUCUCACCUUUCUUUUUCCUUUGUUUUUUGAGACCUUUCCAGAAAAUGCUCGCCUGCCCUUAAAGAGUCAAACUCACUAGAAAUGUUGCCUUCCAUUAAGAUAGAAAUAUGAUCUGCCUUCGGUAAAAUGGAAUAGAGAAGUCAUAACUAUAAACUACUGGGAAUAAUUAUCUUCAAAACUAUUUGGAAAUCGGGUAAAGAUAAAAGUAGAGCCCAUUUUACUUCUAUCACUACUUUACGUAUGUCUAAAAUUCUUAGAUAAAAUUGUUUUUUAAGGAAUAUCUUAAAAAUUAUUAUUAUAUAUCAAUUAUUUUCCAACUCUUUACCCAAAAGAAAGUUUGUGUUGUACCUUAUACAUAUGUACGUGCUAAAACAGAGCUCCAUAAAGCAUUUGCCUUCACUGUAUAGCUUCCUAUUCUCUAUCCUGCUUAGUUAAUAGUUAAUAUGGUGUUGGAACCUAUGCAACUGAUUCCAAGAUACAUUAUGUUCAUUGAUUAUGUUCUACAAUUAAAAAAUACAGAUCAAGUCAUUAGUCUAAUCAUUAUGUUUGGGAAUUAAACACCAUCUGUUGUCCCAGUCAAAGGAAAAGUGACUUUUCGGGGUGGGAUGGAGGAGAAAGAGCAGUCAUUAAAUUUUUGCCUCCCUUAUUGGGAAAAAUCAAGCUCUCAUUUUGGGGACAGGUGCCAUCAGAAAUUGGCUAAAAGUGAGAACUUCACCUGGUGCUAGUUCUGUGACCAAGGAGCCACUGCCUGUAUUUUCAUCCACUUGUUCCUAGAAAGUAUUGACCUCCAAGCAACCAGCCCUUCACUCUGGCCUUCAUGGCUUUGCUCUGAUGGGGUUCCUCUCCUGUCUGUGCACAUUUCUCCUUGCCCAGGUUGUGGCCUCAUACCCUGCUCUCCCUUCCUCUUUUUCACUCCCCUUGUAGUCAUGCCUUCACCAACCUGCAUCAUUGACCAAGGCUCCAUUCACCAAAGGGAAGGGGCGGAGCAUACCAGGAUAUGAUUCUCACUUAAAUUCCAUUGUAGCACAGGUCCGAUGAAGCAAGUAGAAUGCAGACCAAGUCUGACAUCCAGAAGAAAGCUCUGAAUAAAUUUAGCAUUGGGAUUUAAGAAUGAAGUAUGGAAUCUUCUGUCCUUCAGCAAAUGGAAAUUAACUUCCUGUUGGGGAAAAAGGAGUGACUGCGCCCUGACGUUUAAGAGAGUCCUGGUCCUUGGAAUCUGGGAUUCUACCUGAAGUCACAAGGAUGAACAAAUGGUAGAGGCCUAGAGAGAGGCGCCUGAGUGAGCCUGCUUCCUAACCAACUUCUCAGAAUUGUCUGCCGCUGGGCUGCCUAAUAGAAGCUCAAGUUCUGGGAUUCCACCCUUGAAGAGAAAUGAAUCUGCACUUCGUGAGCCCUCACCCCGUAGGCCAGCUGCUGGGCUGAGGAAAGACAAGCGGCCUCCAGAGGGUUGUUAGCAAGAAUGUCCACUUGUUCUUCAAAGGGAGAUGCACAACGCCAGGAAUUUGCAUUAAAAGCAUUUCUUGCUCCUGCCAUUAGCAUCCAAAUCAUCUUUAGCUAACAGCUGAAACCAAAAAAUGAAGAAGCUGGAGCAGCAUCUGCCCCGGGAUUAUACUAUCCAUAGCUCCUUUAUAUAGAUUCUAGAUCAGCUGCUAAACUCUUUCAAAAUGGCACUCUGAAAACAAUGAUCUACUAUUACAGACAAAACUUAGCUAGACCUGCAUAUUCCCAAAGGCUUUGUCUUUCUCUUCAGAGGGGUCAGAAAGCUGCUACUUUUUAGGGAAAGAAACUUCUUAUAGCUAUUUAGUGAUCAGUAUUUCUUGAUCAGUAAACCCUUGGUUAAGAAUGUAAGCAACAUUUAUUUUAUUUUUUCUCCUUUUUGAAUUGUAUCCAUUCUUUGUAUGAGUAUUCCAUUUUGUUUGUCUGUUUGUUUCAAGACAUGUAGCUCUUGCUAUCCUAAAACUCACGUGUACAUCAGACUGGCCUGAACACACUGAGAUCUGCUUAGUUUUGUCUCCUCAGUGAUGAGAUCAAAGGCAUGAGGAUACCUAGGAUCCAAGACUUUUACUCCUACAUUAUGGCUUCUGGUUUUCUGUUUUCAUGGGAUUCCUAAUUGUGCAAGCAAAGUGGGUCUCUGUGUCUUCAUCUGUUUCUUUUGCCUUUUAUUUGACUCAUUUUCUUUCAUUGGAUUGUUUUGUCCUUUUCCAAUGUGUUAGUUUUUGUUUUAUCUUGUAUUUUAUUAUUAUUCUUCAAAUGCCCUCUGUUUUCUAAUGAGAAAUGGAAAAGCUGUGAAUCCUCAUGAGAGGGGAAGGAAGGUACAGAGGAACUGGGAGGAGUAAAAAGAGGAGAGACCAUAAUUAGGAUAUAGUGUAUGAAAAAAAUAAAGGCUAUUUUCAACAAAACAACAACAAAAUAUAGAAUGCAAAUAACCAGCCUACCUUAUCUUCCCAGCGUUUGCUUGAUUGUUAAAAGGAAGACUGAUUUUGAACUUAAGAUUCUCUCUGCCUAGGCUUCAUGAGUGUUCUUAGUGUAGGAUUGUCUCACUAUGAAUGUGAGACAUAAUGUCUCACUCAUCCACUAACUGCAGAAAUUAAAACAAUAGAGGCUUGGUCCAAAGCCAAUGAUCUAUGUCCAUUUAAGGAAAGAAACAGAGACGGUAUGUUCAAACUAAAAGUAACCAAACAUCCAUCGCUACCAUCACUUAUGCACAAAUGCUAACCCCAGUACAAAAAGGAAAGAGCUCUGGGGCUUAAGAGAUGAACCACCCUUUAAUGGCAAAAGAAAGAAUCAGCAAUUAAACCAUGAUGAUGUGGCAUUAGAAAAAUAAUCACAACAACUUUAAAAUUUACCCAAAGAAUGAAUCCUUUAGGUAAAAUAUUGCAUCAUUAAAGAAAAUAUUGCAUAAUUAAAGAAUGAUUGAUUGCAUGCACAUUGGACUCAUCUCUCCACCAAUGGUCACUCUAUCUAUCUAUCUAUCUAUCUAUCUAUCUAUCUAUCUAUCUAAUGACAAGAGGAUUCAUAGCAGUAAUUCUAAGUGUGCAAAGGGAGGAGCCUUGAGGCCAAUACCCCAGACUGACCUAAAACCUCAUGCCUAGUGUCCCUAUAGGGAUCUCAUCUUAAAGCUGCUAGCCCAAUAUGAUGGGGAUGAGGAAGAUACUGGGGUAGGAUAGAAGAUAUUGUGACAGAAAACUAUAAACCAGAAAGGAAGGAAAGAAGGAAGAAAAAAGCCAGAGAGCAGAAGUGCAUGCCUGUGAUCCCAGCACUUGGAAAUCUAAGGCAGGAAGAUCAAGAAUUUGGCCUAAUAUGGAUUCCAUAGGGAGAGCUGGUUUCUAAAUCGAAUGCAACAAACUUUUUAAAACUAAGCAUUUUGCAUUUAAAGCAUUGAUAGGUAUUAGCCAAAGAGCUACCCUUUGCUUUUGUUUGGUAGAGAGGAAUCUUAGGUAAACUGUGCUCAUAACUAACCUAUGAGGCAGAAGGUCAUAUACCAUACAAUAGAUCUGUUCGGAUACUUUCUAGAAAUAUCCAAAUCAAAGACCUAACUUUUAAAUUCUAAAACACUGUCCUAUGGAUUACAUAGUCUGUUGAUCUAUCUGUAAAUUAACCCUUAUUCUGACUAAAUGUAAAAAGUUGACCUUAUAUCUGCCUGUUUCCUCUCAUGAGACAUACACACAUGAACCUGAGAGGCUCAGUGGUGGUGAAAGCUUUAUUGGUUCUGCUUCCUGUAUUCAACCAUGCUGUCACAAGGAAAAUGAAAAGUUAAAAAAAAAAAAAUUAAGACCGGCCUUGAAUGAACAGAUGUUGUUUCUUUCCAGAGAUGAUUAUGUAUGUGUGGGAGGUCAGAAUAAUAUUUCACAAUCACCAGCUUGGGUCUGAAUCUAAUAACUUCAUGUGGCAUGCUAGGGAAACAAAAUACCCUAUCUUCAGAACAUGUGCUAAUUCCAGUAAAGUAUUUUUUACCUUCCUGGCCACUCUGAAUAUUAUUUAAAUUCCUAGCAUCGACUAUGAAGAUGUCUAAACCUCAGUGGCUAGCUGGUUUUAAACAAAUGUCUUUGUGGGUCGCCCUGGUGCUGUUUUUAUUUUGAUGCUAAUUCCGCUUCCCCAAGAAGGGCUGCGUGGGAUGAGGAGGGAACCAGUACUCAGGUGACUUCACUGGAACCUUCUCCUGAUUUUAACUUGUAAAAUAAAGGCUAGAGCCCAUGAUUUGGCAGGGGAAGGAAGGUGGAGCUGAAGAGUUGUGGGGAGACAGAGGAAGGGGGGGAGAGGAAGAAGAGGUGGAAGGAAGAUGGAGAUGAAGCACAUGGCCUGCAGAAACCGCAAAUUAUAAGGGCUCUCAUAGCUGGGGAUAAAGUCGUGUAGCAGUAGAUCUGCCCAAUCUAGGCACGCAGCUUGUAUUCAUAUUAUUUGAGUUGUGUUUUCAUUAAACGGGCUUGUCUGGAUUGGAGAAAUUACCUCAACAUGUCUUCCAGUGCUUUCUCUGGUGGACUCAAGAAUCAGUGAAACUUGAAGAAGUCCCACAUUUUCUUUUGUCAAUAAUUUAGCAAAAUGUUUCAGAUGACGAAUAUUUAUUUUUUUACGUUUAUUUGGUGUGCGUGUGUACAUGUGUGUGUGUGUGCGUGUGCGUGUGUGUGUGUGUGUGUGUGUGUGUGUGUGUGUGUUGCUGUAUAUGUGUGGAGGUCAAAUGGUAACUUGCACAACUUAGUUGCCUCCUCUGCCAUGUGGAUUCUAGGGAUUCUACUCAGGUUAUCAGACUUGGUAACAGGUGCCUUAAGCCAGCAUCAUGUUGCCUUACUAUAAGAUAAACAUUUUCAUUUGAAAGAAUAUUCUCAGUACAAUUUAAAUACCGGUGUGCAUCAUGUAAAAUGUAAAUAUGAACAAGAGUAAAAAUCCAAUUCUGUGGCUCAGUGAUGCACCUCUGAAAUCCAGAGGUGGUUUUUACAUUCUGUUGAUUUGAUUGAUUUUCACCAGAUGCCGUGUCUAGACACUGUGUGUGCCAAGGAGUGCUAGAAUGGAUGAGGCAGAGGAAAAUGCUUCACACUGACAGUAUUUAACACAAAAGUGCCACAAUGUAAAAGAAGAAUUAAGCAAAGGCUAAAGGGCUGGAAGACAGAAGGCAGCCUUUCUCAUUAGAGCCCGUGGAAAGGCUGCGUAGCCUGUGCAGCCUGACAUGCCUCUAAGGGCUGCUUGAGUAAUAGGUUCUUGCCAAUACUAACCCACCCCAAGUUGGCAUAACUUUCUAUGUAACUUAGCGGAAAGGACAGGAGUGCUAAUGAUCAGAAGCUCCAAAGAUAAAACACCAGGAGGAAGAAUCACUCAGUAAGCUUUAUCAUGUUAUGCUGUGUUUAUGAAGUCACUUUCUACCACAAUCAUUUUUUAUUUAAAGAACACUCAUUUCUGUAAUAAAACCCAGAAUAUAAGAUCUUACAUAUUCAAUACAGUGCACUUACUCAUGUACAGAUGGAAAAAAAUAAGUUCAGUAUUUCAAGACCAAGAUGGCUGCUAAUUUAUCUACAAUGUCACCUUUACAUUGGGUAAACAAUUUUUGUCUUGUUUACCCAAUGCAAAGCCUGCACAAAAACCUCCAUGUAUUUGAAAAAACACUUUAAAACUUGAUUCAGAUCUUUUCCACCAAUGGGGCUAUUUUUAAAUCUGCCUUCAACUUUCCUCUGUAACCUAAUUCUGCUCCAAUUCUUCAAGUGCAAUAAAGUGUCUUUUAGUCAAA